rnacentral:rRNA from 1 species
AGAUGGGGCUGCUCGGGCGCCCACCUCCCACCCGUGACUACCUAACACUGUUGCUUCGGCGGGGAGCCCUCUCGGGGGCGAGCCGCCGGGGACUACUGAACUUCAUGCCUGAGAGUGAUGCAGUCUGAGUCUGAAUAUAAAAUCAGUCAAAACUUUCAACAAUGGAUCUCUUGGUUCCGGCAUCGAUGAAGAACGCAGCGAACUGCGAUAAGUAAUGUGAAUUGCAGAAUUCAGUGAAUCAUCGAGUCUUUGAACGCACAUUGCGCCCCCUGGCAUUCCGGGGGGCAUGCCUGUCCGAGCGUCAUUGCUGCCCAUCAAGCCCGGCUUGUGUGUUGGGUCGUCGUCCCCCCCGGGGGACGGGCCCGAAAGGCAGCGGCGGCACCGUGUCCGGUCCUCGAGCGUAUGGGGCUUUGUCACCCGCUCGAUUAGGGCCGGCCGGGCGCCAGCCGACGUCUCCAACCAUUUUCUUCAGGUUGACCUCGGAUCAGGUAGGGAUACCCGCUGAACUUAAGCAUAUCAAUAAGCGGAGGA